CUUGACAUCCAGAGAACUUGGCAGAGAUGCCCUGGUGCCUUCGGGAACUCUGAGACAGGUGCUGCAUGGCUGUCGUCAGCUCGUGUUGUGAAAUGUUGGGUUAAGUCCGCAACGAGCGCAACCCCUAUCCUUUGUGCCAGCGAUUCGGUCGGGAACUCAAAGGAGACUGCCGGUGAUAAACCGGAGGAAGGUGGGGAUGACGUCAAGUCAUCAUGGCCCUUACGAGUAGGGCUACACACGUGCUACAAUGGCGCAUACAAAGAGAAGCGACCUCGCGAGAGCAAGCGGACCUCAUAAAGUGCGUCGUAGUCCGGAUCGGAGUCUGCAACUCGACUCCGUGAAGUCGGAAUCGCUAGUAAUCGUAGAUCAGAAUGCUACGGUGAAUACGUUCCCGGGCCUUGUACACACCGCCCGUCACACCAUGGGAGUGGGUUGCAAAAGAAGUAGAUAGCUUAACCUUCGGGAGGGCGUUUACCACUUUGUGAUUCAUGACUGGGGUGAAGUCGUAACAAGGUAAGCGUAGACGU
rnacentral:rRNA from 1 species